CAGACUGACAGAACGUGUGGUGUGUGUGUUGUACACAGCCAAACCCAAAAGUGGAAAUCUACUGGAAAUCCCAAAAACUGGAGGUCAAACACAGCUUGCCUGCACAGCAGCGAGUCACUCAGUAGUCCACAACAACUGUGGGACAGGACCGAGCUCUCAAAACUUCACACAAGUCCAUGUGAGGAGGGGUCCAGGGGAACAAAGCUACAAACUAAGUCAGAAUGAGCGCUUCAGAGGAAACGAUGGCGGUUCUCCAGAACGUCUGGACCAAACUGCAGGGACUUCCUCAAGCCCACCCGCUCACGCAGACGGCGUUUUUCAUCAUACUGCUGUUCUUCUUGACAUACAUCGUUCUGAUCGUGACUGGAUGUGUUUAUGACUGCUGUGGCCAGGGGCGGAGUGGGAGAAAAAAAUCUACAGGGAAAUUGAGUGGGCAAAAAAAAAAAACUACUACUACCGUCACAGACACCUUGCACGUAUAUGUCAAUUUUUCAUCACUCUCACAGACGCUGUAUUAGAAACCCUCACAGCAGCAUUAACUAGUUUCUUGUACAUUUAUAAAAAGGAACAUAAUAAUAUGAAAUACAGAGUUGUAAAAAAUGAAAAAAAUGAAAAUAUAAAAAAACUUUCCAGGAUUUAUGCUGAUGAUGACCGUUAAAAUGCGAAAAGGGUCCACUUUCACGGCGACACGACUCCUUGCUCGUUAGCUUCUGCUAGUGUUAACGUCAUAAUCCAUAUACAGUUAACAUUGUUACAUUGCCAAGGGAAGUUACACAUGUUAAAACUAGGAAAUCUGACAACCAUUGAAGGACAAAUUCAAGAGUCACUCAAUAGUAAACUAUUCAUUUUUAUAUCAAAGGCCGACAGGCUAUCACAUUUGGGGAGGGGCCACUCACUGAUCCCCCUAUAUUUGUGAAAAUCCUAGACAUGGUUGGACCUGCCGAACGGGUGGAGCACUUUUAUAUACUGUGUUGAGCAGAGAGGCUGCACAGUUUGACCAGUGAGAAGCAUGAUAUAUAACUACAGUAUUAUCAGACCUGCCGUCAUGGACUCAAAACACUACCGGCCCACCGAGAAAAUUCCCGUCUCGGAUUACCACUACUAGCUGUGUCUGCUGUAAGACAAGGACCAGAAACAGAGUCUCUGCCAUCUGAAACAUGGGCUACACAAUAAAGAGGAAGAGCCGAGCAGAGCACAGUGGGCUGAAACUAAACUGUGAUAACACACACAGUACAGUGAUCAGAGAAAGCGGCUCACGCUGUAAAGCUGCAUGAAUACAUGACAUUCAUCAGCGACAGUCAAUGAAGAGCUUUAAAUGAGAAACAUUUUCCAUCUUCAUUAUGAAGGUCACAAAUAAACACUGGAUUCCCAACUUCUCUCAUUAUGAAAACAGUGUCAAAUACUGUCCUCUGGUGUUUGAUUACACGACUGCAGAGAAGAAGAAACCAGAGGAGGACUGGACCGUCGUGUGAAGAUCAAAUGCUGUUCUGUUGUACUUUCUGUUCAUCAAAGGACCCUGAAAAAACCCUGGCUUUCCACAAAAAUAUGAGGUGGCACGACUGUUAAUAUUAAUAAAUGUUUGUUGAGCAGCA